rnacentral:rRNA from 1 species
AAAGAUCUAGAUAAAUUUUAAAGUUCUUGUAUCAAAAAGAUUUUUUAAGUUUGUUUAGGUGUGAAAUUCUAAUCGCUUUUAUUAAUAUCUAGUAACUUCAGAAAUAAAUUUAGUUUAGAAUGUUUAGGAAUUCUUUAUUUUAAAGAAAUUCUAAAAUCAUUUUUAAGUUUUAGGGGAUGAGCUCUACAACUAUUAUAUAAGAAUAAAUUUCAUUAUUUUUUUCAUAGGCUUAGAAUUAGCCAUUAGAUAGUGUUAUAAAAUAUAACUUUAAGGUUAAGAUUUAUAUUUCUUUUUGUAUUAUGAAGUUAAUUUCAAAAUUUUUUUAGAAAUGAAAAUAUGAUAACAUUAGUAGAUAAAGAUAUUAAGAAUUAAUUUUAAAUUUUUCACAAUAUUUUAUACUUAUAAAUUUAAUAAAAGAACUCGGCAAAUAAAAUUUCCGAAUGUUUAACAAAAACAUUUCCUCCUGGCUUAGGAGGUAAGGCCUGCUCACUGAAUAUUUAAAGAGCCGCAGUAUCCUAACUGUGCUAAGGUAGCAUAAUCAUUAGUCUUUUAAUUGGGGACUGGUAUGAAUGGCUUAACGAGAAAUUGACUUUUUUUGUUAUAAAAAUCGAAUUUAAUUUUUUAGUGAAAAAGCUAAAAUUAUUCAGAAAGACGAGAAGACCCUAUAGAGUUUUAUGUUUUAGGAUAUUUUUUCUUAUUUGAUUUUUUAAGGUUAAAUAUUUAAGAACAUUUUGUUGGGGCGACAUUAAGAUAAAAAAAACUCUUUAUUUUUAAAAUUUUUAUAAAAAGAAAGUUUGAUCCUCUAUAAGAGAUCAAAAGAAAAAAUUACCUUAGGGAUAACAGCGUAAUCUUUUUUGAGAGUUCUAAUCGACAAAAAGGUUUGCGACCU